UCGGGAAUUUUGGACAAUGGGCGCAAGCCUGAUCCAGCAAUGCCGCGUGAGUGAAGAAGGCCUUCGGGUUGUAAAGCUCUUUUGUCAGGGAAGAAACGGUGGGAGCUAAUAUCUCCUACUAAUGACGGUACCUGAAGAAUAAGCACCGGCUAACUACGUGCCAGCAGCCGCGGUAAUACGUAGGGUGCAAGCGUUAAUCGGAAUUACUGGGCGUAAAGCGUGCGCAGGCGGUUUUGUAAGUCUGUCGUGAAAGCCCCGGGCUCAACCUGGGAAUUGCGAUGGAGACUGCAAGGCUUGAAUCUGGCAGAGGGGGUAGAAUUCCACGUGUAGCAGUGAAAUGCGUAGAGAUGUGGAGGAACACCGAUGGCGAAGGCAGCCCCCUGGGUCAAGAUUGACGCUCAUGCACGAAAGCGUGGGGAGCAAACAGGAUUAGAUACCCUGGUAGUCCCUGAGCGGGCUGGCAAGGCGCAU
rnacentral:rRNA from 1 species